CGACGCCGCGUGUAGAAUAAGCUCUAACGAGUGUAAACUACUGUGGUAGGGGAAGAAGGUCCCGCUUUGCGGGAUUUGACGGUACCCUAUUAGAAAGGAGCCGCUAACUGCGUGCCAGAAGCGUCGGUAAUACGUGGGCUCCAAGCAUUAUCCGGUUUUAUUGGGCGUAAAGGGUCGUGUAGGCGGUUUGAUAAGUUAUCUUUGAAAUUCCAAUGCCUAACAUUGGAAUUGGGGAUAAGACUAUCCUACUAGAGUUUUCUUUAGGGGGAUUGGAACUCAAGGAGGAGUAGUGAAAUGCGUUGAUACCUUGGGGAACACCGAUGGCGAAGGCAAGUCCCUGGGAGAAAACUGACGCUGAGACACGAAAGCUAGGGGAGCGAAGCAGAUUAGAGACCUGCGUAGUCCUAGCCUUAAACGAAUGUCUGCUACCUGCAUGAUUUCGUAUUUAUACGAUUUCGUGUGGGAAAGGUAACCCGUUAAGCAGACCGCCUGGGGAGUACGACCGCAAGGUUAAAACUCAAAGGAAUUGGCGGGGAGGCACACAACCAGUGGAACAUGUGGUUCAAUUUGAUACGAACCAAAGAAACUCAACAAGUUUGACAUUCA
rnacentral:rRNA from 1 species